UACGUAGGGUGCAAGCGUUAAUCGGAAUUACUGGGCGUAAAGCGUGCGCAGGCGGUUCUAUAAGACAGAUGUGAAAUCCCCGGGCUCAACCUGGGAACUGCAUUUGUGACUGCAGAGCUGGAGUGCGGCAGAGGGGGAUGGAAUUCCGCGUGUAGCAGUGAAAUGCGUAGAUAUGCGGAGGAACACCGAUGGCGAAGGCAAUCCCCUGGGCCUGCACUGACGCUCAUGCACGAAAGCGUGGGGAGCAAACAGG
rnacentral:rRNA from 1 species